GUCCUCCUCCACAGGCUCUACUGCCGGAGGCUGCCCCGUCGGGCGAGCAACAACAGGAUGCCAUGAGGCGAACGAUUGACGCAUGUGAGAAGCCAGGACAAGAUGUUGAGACGGAGGCGGGCUCACGAGCUGGUUGACCCCUGCAGACGCAUCCUCGACUCCGUGGUGAGCGGCGGCUGCUGCAUCUGGUUGCCGGCGCGGCUCCGGCCCCCAUCCUCUACUCCGUGUUGAGCAGUGACCGAUGCUUCUGGUCGCCCGGCGCUGCUCUGACCGUGUGGUUCAGCUGCUCCUCUCCCUCCUCGAGGUUGAGGUAAAAGUGGAGCCCAACUCCUCCUCUUUGAUUUAAUCUCUGGAACACCUCAUCUCAGAUUGUGCAGAUCCAUUUAUCUACGCUUAGAAGGUGUUUGGUAAAAAUCCUAGGUAAGAUUAGUGUAUAUUUAUGCUCCAUCUAGCUAUUUGCAAUCUUGUAACUAGGGUACUGGAUGUUAAGGAGAGAGAUUUAUACUUCUAUCCCUUUUCAUUAACAAUAAAUAUGUUGUCCUUUAUGUUUGACUCAGCUAGUCAUGUGAAGCACAAUAAAUUUGAAGCAAAAAAAGUCUGCCUACAACUUAUCAAUGUCUUGGCCAACGAGGGCACCGAGAAGAUGUCCGGUUUCGAUUUGCUAGAGAUUUUGCCACUUCAACUAUUGUGUAAACCUUUUUGGACCUACGCGCCAAGAUCUCAUCUGCUACAAGGUUCACCAGGUUGGGCGUGCAACCUGGAGCCAACAGUGUGCUAGCUAUUGGAGAAUGUGUGGGAGGGCAUGGUGGCAUAAGUGCGAGUGCUCAGUGGCGUUAUCAUUUGGAGGCAGAUAAAUUAUUUGGUGGAUCAGUUUGCAGCAUGUACGCCUUACCAACACUGAAAGUGCCAAAUGGAGCACUACAGAGAAAUGGAACAAGUGUUUCUUAUUGACAGUCCAAAUCUUAUAAUGAAGACGAUAAUUUGAAGGGAGAUGGUGCAGCUCUAAUUACGGAUGAUUUUUGCGAAGAGGAACAAGUCUGUGAGCAUGGUAUUGCAAUGGUCAGUGGUGGCUUGCGUCGCCGUGUACUGAUUAACAUUCUCCAGCGCCUAUUAGCUGCUUCUCUCCAGCCCUGAGUAAAAUUUUAUGCUACUCAAGAUGAUUUUUUUAUCAUGGCUUUAUAGAUAUCAAAAUAUCAUCUAGAGAAAACAAUUAAUGGGCUACAUAUGUGUUUUCUCCUGUCCAUGUUCAUUUCACACCCAUUGAGCUAUCGAACAACAUGAUGAAACGUGUAGUAGGGCAUGCGCAAAUUUAUUUGGAACCAGCUAGCACCAAAUAUGAGCUAGAUGUUACUAAUAGGUUCCGAAGGAAGGUUUAACUGGAUUAUAGUCUGUUUUAUAGGAAGUGGUGCUUACUAUUUUAGUUUGGUUGUAUUUAUAAUAGUGUGAUCCCUUUAUUCUGAUAGAAACGUGAAUUUGUUGAAAACAUACUCUAUUAAAAAUAUAGUCUCCUGGGCAAGUAUAUAAUGACAUUCUUUAGUUGUUUAUAUGUUCUUUUUAUAAUCAACUUUAUUUGCAUGUUCAUGUCCCUGCUUUCUUUUAUAAAUAACUUACGCAUAGCUUUCCAUUUUUCUCCACAGCAUAAAUUGUGAAGAUGCUUGAGGUACACUAUCGCCAUCCCUUCCUAAUACCUCACUAGGUACCAUUUCUUUUAGCCUACUCUUCUACGUGCACUUAGGUUUUACGUUUGUCCAUUGAAGCGCUCUAUACUCCCAUUUGGAGUGGGCAUAGCUAAUGAAAUAUAGAACGAUUUUUUAUAUCCAUAUUGUGAGGUUGCUACGAAUUAAAUUGAGGCUCAGCUGCUAGAUAGCGUGCAAAUUACCAAGUGCCUGGUAUCAAUGUGUUCUGUUAAUAAAAUGGUACUGUUGUUAGAAGCUUCUACAAGAUAUGUGCUUCACUUUAAGGGCAUUUCUCUUUGGAAUAAAUUUGCAUAUGCAAGAUAAAUAUGUAUAUUUUUAAAAAAAAUAUUAAUCAUGUGCCGUAUUUAGCAGUGGUUGGUCUUAAACCAGAAAAAACUGGUAUCAAAUUGUUUUAGUUCUGAUCUUUGUCAAUUUGAUGGGACUUUAUAGCUAUCAAUUAUCUAUAUGGUUUAUUUCAUUUCGUGCAGUUCCUUCUUCGCCCAAUUAUAGUAAAUACACAAUAUAUGUAAUUCAAAAGAAAUAAUGUUAUUUAAGUUUUACUUUUGGUGAUGACUUGCCCUCCUAAUCAUAUGCUUAUGAUGUUUCAUUUCGUACUAUGAUCCUAGAUUUUGGAUUUCUAAUAAGGAUAUAUCAUUUUGCAGCGUUGUAUUCAGAGUUGGGCAGGAAGUUUGCUAUAUGAUACUACAUACAAGUUACAUGUUUUGUUCUUAAUUAUCUUUCCUUUGUAUUCAUUUUUCAUUGUUUGGGGAUCUGGGAGCAAGUUUAUCAUCUGAAACUUACUUCCAGUUAUAGAUUCUGGUCUCAUCUUACAUAUUUGUUAACACAUUUUCAGUAAAUGGGCGAUCUAUGGACAGGCAAGUUGCAUGCUUUACAUUGCGAUUGAGAUGAUAUUUUCUCUUUUAUUUUUUCUAGCACUAGAAAAUAUAACGGUUUGGCGACUAAUCAUGUUCUGUAGGGCGUGCGACUGCUUGAGCUUGAAGAAUCUUUCUUCCACCGGCAUGGUUUUUUAACAAAGU